GAACGUGCAGGGUGAGCUGAGAGCACUUGCUGAGUGAGUGGUGGUGCCUGAAGCUGGAAAAGGACUAGAAAAGAGGGAAACAUAAAGUACUGGCCAUCUCCAGGGAAGCUACUGGUUUACAACCUGAUCUGAUCUGACCUGAUCUUCAACUUUCAUGACUGUCUGGCAUCUAAAUGUCAAAGUAAAGAGAAUAAAAGGAAAAUAAAGGAUGUUGUCGUCUGAGUUGAUCCAGCUAAAUCUGUAGUUGGCCAAGGCCCUUUUUCAAGUUUGGGCAGACUUUAAGUUAGAAUCCCAGGAUAACUUGACAGU